rnacentral:rRNA from 1 species
GGCGCACGGGUGCGUAACACGUAUGUAACCUACCCAUAUCAGGGGGAUAGCCUCUCGAAAGAGAGAUUAAGCCCGCAUAACAUCUGUUUGUGGCAUCACAGAGAGAUCAAAUAUUUAUAGGAUAUGGAUGGGCAUGCGGAACAUUAGCUAGUUGGUAAGGUAACGGCUUACCAAGGCGACGAUGUUUAGGGGAUCUGAGAGGAUGACCCCCCACACUGGUACUGAGACACGGACCAGACUCCUACGGGAGGCAGCAGUAAGGAAUAUUGGUCAAUGGGCGGAAGCCUGAACCAGCCAUGCCGCGUGCAGGAAGACGGCCCUACGGGUUGUAAACUGCUUUUGUACGGGAAUAAACCCCUUUACGUGUAAAGGGCUGAAUGUACCGUAAGAAUAAGGAUCGGCUAACUCCGUGCCAGCAGCCGCGGUAAUACGGAGGAUCCAAGCGUUAUCCGGAUUUAUUGGGUUUAAAGGGUGCGUAGGCGGCUCAUUAAGUCAGGGGUGAAAGACGGCAGCUUAACUGUCGCAGUGCCUUUGAUACUGAUGAGCUUGAAUACACUUGAGGUAGGCGGAAUGUGACAAGUAGCGGUGAAAUGCAUAGAUAUGUCACAGAACACCGAUUGCGAAGGCAGCUUACUAAAGUGAGAUUGACGCUGAGGCACGAAAGCGUGGGGAUCAAACAGGAUUAGAUACCCUGGUAGUCCACGCCCUAAACGAUGAACACUCGAUGUUGGCGAUAUACGGUCAGCGUCAAAGCGAAAGCGUUAAGUGUUCCACCUGGGGAGUACGCCCGCAAGGGUGAAACUCAAAGGAAUUGACGGGGGCCCGCAC